AGCGCUUCUUCACUGGCUCCAUUUUUACAUUCGAUACACUUUACACUGGAGAUUAAGGAGCCCUUUUUACUACAUCUAAUUUUAAACCACUCCUUUGAACAGUGUGCUCUGUAAGCUUUUGCUACCUUCCUAUUUGCUUCCUUUAGAUGGAAAGAUAACACUCUUUCUAGUUUCCAGAGAAAAUUCCAUACUUAAAGAUGUUUCAAACUUGAACUGAACAGUCAACAGGGAGGACACCAUAGGCCUGAUCUUGUUGGAGAGCAGAGGAUAGGUAACUUUCAAAAUGUUUUUUGGAUACUUAGGCAUAAACUUACUACCUCUCCUUAAGAAAAAGAAUCAAGUUGAUUCAAAGUAUCCACAACGCUUGAAAGUUUUUUUGACCACUGCUGAAAGCCAGUAUUUUACAGUUUGGACCGUACGGUCUAUUAGCAGUUUGUUAUUAAUCUUUAGAAACAUGGACGCCUGAACGUCAAGCAUUGGGCUGGGUCAUCAAUGUCAAGAAUGGCUCAUUUUACUUGGGAACAGGGAUUUGGAAGAGUUUCAGAGACAAAGACUCAAGUCAUGUCAUCCAAGGGUGGGAAUAGGCACUUCUAGCAGUGUGGACAAAGGCACAAAGGUGUGCAACAGCACAGCACUCGAGAUGGUAUGCAUUUUAGCCCCUCGGGGGAUGUCUGCUAUGUGAACCCAGUUAGAAGAUUACUGCAAUUGUCCAAGAGAUGACGAAUUGAAAAGGGAAAGCAAGCUGGGGGACAAUUUACUCAAAUAAUGAAAUGUAGGAUGAGAAGCAAAAGAAAUUUGAGGGAACGGGUUAAAAGUUCUUAGGAAUCAAGUAGCAAGCUUAGUAGCUUUAUAGGAGCUACUAAGUUACAAGUAGCUGAACACUGCACCUACAGCUCCGAGAUGAAAGUCUGGGUGUGACUGGAGAACACAACUGCAAUUGGCCAGAGAGAACAUACAACGCACGAAGGAAGUCAAAGAAAAGAAGUAACCUCAAGUGAUAUUUAAAAUGCUACAGGAACGUAAAGAAAAAUUAGAGCUCAAGAGGUUCAUGGAUUUGGCAAUUAGGAACAAUGAGGACACACGCCAGUGAAAAGUACACAACAAGGAUUUGUUUCCAUUAGCUUGAAAAAUGGUCUCUUUUCCUUAUUAAGGCACAGUGAGGCUAGGAACAUUCUGAAAAUUAUCUUCAAAUCUACUGACUUCAUAUUUAGUCCCCCUUUU
rnacentral:lncRNA from 1 species